rnacentral:misc_RNA from 1 species
CAACCCUCAAGCUCUGCUUGGUAUUAAGCUUCACCUGUACAGGCGGGCUUUAAAAUCAGUGGCGGUGCCAUUUGGCUUCAAGCGUAGUAAUUUUCUCGCUUUGGAUUACCAGAUGUGUGCUUGCCAGCAACCCCAAUUUUAUCAAA